UGGAUGCCUGUAAUCCCAGCUACUCAGGAGGCUGAGGCAGGAGAAUCACUUGUACCUGGGAGACGGAGGUUGCAGUGAGCUGAGAUUGCACCAUUGCACUCCAGUUUGAGCGAGAGUAAGACUCCGACAGAAAAGAAAGGAAGGAAGGAGGGAAGGAAGGAAGGAAGGAAGGAAGGAAGGAAGGAAAUGAAUAAAGUGAAAGUAAAACCUCCCCCACCCAACCUACAGGAAAGUGGUUAACAAUGAACAGUUUGAUAGAUUCCAUUGAGACUUUUGCCUUUAGUCUUAUGUUCACGCAUGUAUUCAUCCACAGGAAGACAAAGAAAAGAUGGACGAGAGAAUGAGAACUGGGCAGGAAGGAAGUGAGCUAGUGAAGGUCACAGAGAGAGGAGUGAGAACCAUGGAGACCCUUCUGACCUCUCACUUUUGCCUGGGACCCCAGGACCAAUCCUGUGUUAUUUUGGAUGCUUCCUGCAAAGAAAAGCCAAGAUUUCAUGAGGAUGGAAGCAGAGUACAAUGUUCUGGCCUUUAGUGGAUUCCCUGUUUUUUCAGACAGGAGAAAUGACAAACAAAGGCAAGGAAAUGAAAUGAUCGCACAAUCUGUGCAGGAGGGUUUUCUUUUUUCCUACUUGAAUCACCCCAGCUAGGUGGAGACAAGAGAAAUCUGCCCAAGCACAAUCAGACAGAUAUGGCCCCUGCAAAGCAGACCCAGUCGCACUGGGCAAUGAAGCGAGUGCACUCCCUGGACAGGGAGGAAGUGCACCCACGGGAGCAGGGAGGAAGUGCACCCAGGGGAGCAGGGCCCUGCCUGGCAGCCGCGUGGCUUGCUCCCUCCACCCCACUCCCCACUCCCUGUAUUUUAUAGUGUGUUAGGUCGUUGCCCUUUAAACUGUCUUUCUCCGACACAAGUGCCUUCUGUCCCUUGUCUACCAAGCAUAUUUAUAUGAAUAAUGCAGGCCAAAUAUAGAGGUGACAUAACAUUCUUAAACGUGGUCAUUUGCUGAUGGCAACAUGAGUCUGAGCCAGACAAUUGCCCUCCAGUGUAUUUCACAAGCCUGCAGGGAGCACCUGCUGGAGAAGGGGCAGUUGGCCAGCUGCUGCGAGACGGGGGGAGGGAGGGAAAGAAUCAGCGAGGGUUGGUUGCCAGACUCACUGUCCCAGGAGGACACACAUAUGUAAGAAUCUCCAGCUAAAGCAAUCUUUAAAACAUUUUGUUAGGUAUCAGGGUACACAGGAAGUGCUGUGGGAUCUAUUUUGGUUCCAGGAAAUGGGGGAUGGCUUCACGAAAAACCAAAGGACAUGGUGUUUCAGUUGGCCCCUGAACCACACGUCCUCCUGAUACAUCAUAGAGGCAAUCCCACAGAGACACAAAGUCAGGAGAACAUGUGGCAGUUUUGGAGAGGGUGCUUGUAGAAGAAGUGGAGAGACAGGUAGCAGAAGGCUGGGAGGAGGGAUGGGGUGGGCCCCUGGAAAGGUGAAGGCCCCAGAUCGGAGGCAGAGGCUUCUCAGAGCGUGACUUUCAGAAGUUUGCUGCUGGGUGAUACCUGGUCGUCACUUUGUGGCUGUAGAUACUGGGUCCUCAAUAUUCACAUGUAAGACAGACACCACAUUCCUUACGUCCCUCUUAUCACCUAGCCUAGCUCCAAAUACCUACACACUUGACUUCUCUGAAAGAAAAAAUGUUCAAGGAGGAUUCUGUAACCUGUUGUUUCCCUAAUAUUUUGCUUCUGUAUGGAUGUUCCAACAGAUUUCACCCGGUGGCAUUUCCACUCAUCUGUAUGGGAGAGCCCUCUGUAUAUGCGGGACUCCCCUUCCUCUUCCUUCAAUUCUGUAUUUUCAAUAUGCAUUGGGUGGACCCUUGCAGUUCAGGCCCAUAUUGUUCGAGGCGCAACUGUGUUUCAUGAGGAGCAGGGUGGGAACUUGCGAAGAUCAGCUGCACCGUUAGCCAAACCGCUGUCUGCGAUGCCCCAGCUGCAGAGCCAGGCCCCCUACUCCACCUCCGUAGCUGGCACCCUCCUUGCUCCGCAGGGAUGUAAACACUGACACAUUCACUCUCCAUUUCAAUGUGACAAAAUCCUAUAAACCUACCAGUGUAAGACAAUGCAAAUGCAUUAUCUUCCAGUUCCAGUGGGUCAGAAGUCCAGGCUCAGCUUAAUCGGACUCACAGCUCAGGGACCCAAGAGUUUGGCUGGGCUAUAUUUCUUUCUUGGGCUUAGAGUCCUCCUCCAAGCUCAGUGGCUGUUAGAACUCAGGGCCCUGUGGUGGUAGGACUCGGGUCUUUCUUUCCUUUUAGCUCUCAGCUAGAGGCACCUGCAGUUCUUUACAUGUGGCCCCCAGGCAGUUCAUGACAAGGAGGUCUGCUUUCCUAGAGGCCAUCCAAAGUCUCUCUAGCCGCCUCCUCUGUGACUAGCUGUAGGGGUCUUUCUAAAAGCAAGGCUCAUGUGUUUAAAUAGGCCCACCCAGAUUAUCUCCCCAUUUGAAUGGCAACUGAUCCAGGACCUUAAUUAUAACCAAAUCCCAUUGCAGCAGCACUGAAAUCAGUGCUUGAGUAAACAACUGGCAGAUGGUGUGUAGGCGCCAGGGCCAAGUGAGCAUUUUGGGAGGCAUCUUAGAAUUGUGCCCAGCAGAACUGGUGACUGCAUCAGCCUAAGUGGAUUAGUCUGCUUGGCUGCCAUAACUGGGAGUCUUAACAGAAAUUUAACUUCUCACAGUUCUGGGGCCUGGAAAUCCAAGGUCAAGGUGCUGGAGGGGUUGUUUUCUGGUGAGGGCUCUCUUCCCGGUUUGCAGACAGCCUUCUCCUCACCAUGUCUUCACAGGGCAGAGAGAGCAAGCUCCGCUGUCUCUUCCUCUUCUUAUAAGGAUGUCAGUUUUGUUGGAUUAGGGCCCCAUCCUUAUGACAUCAUUUAACCCUAAAAAAAACGCCUUAUCUUCAAAUACAGUCAGACUGGAGGUGAGGGCUAAAACAAGGAUUUUGAGAAGGACACAAUUCACUUCAUAAAGUGAUCUUCAGCUACACUUCCUUCCUGACUGUACUGACCAAGAUUGCCACAAAUGUGGGCCUCUUUGCUGUGGACAUAAAGUAUAAGUCAUUUACUUGAAAUGAGCUCCAACAGAAAUGCAUGCUAGGUAAAACUGUAACUGCUUCUCCAGUUAGUACCACCAUCUGCAUGAGCUGCGUGGGGGCCUCUGCCCUUCAAGUUUAAAAAGGUCCCUUCUAACAGAAGCAGAAGAAAUGGAAAUGUUGCAAAGUACCUAAUGGGACCAAAGGAAUUUAGGAACAGGCAUCACCUGCAUCGACUGGCUGAUUAACUGAUUAAUUGAUUAAUUGAUUGAUUUGUUCAUUCAAAUGGUAUGUACUGAGCAGCUACUACAUGCCAAGCACAAUGCAAGGUGAUCAGAUAUAGCAGUAAACAAGACAGAACUGAAACCCUGAUGUUUUCAGCAGCUCAGAAAGCAAGGCAUCCCCUUCACUGCCUCCACCUGUGCAGUGAUGGGAGUCGCAGUGAGGAAGGGCGGGGAAAAGAGUCGUAAGGUGCAUACGGUGUUUUUGCAACAAGCUGUAUUUUCUUAACUGAAAAGUUUAAUGAAAUUUUAAUUUGCCAGAAGGCAACAAGCUGACUUCUUCAAUAUGGUAAGAAGAGAAACUAUUAAUUAUGGCUUUCUAAAAUUGAAUAUCCUUGUACACAAGCUGAAGCCAACAGUAGCCCACACACCCAUGCUCCUCCAAACGUGAGAGCUUAUCUCUGGGCAGCUCUUCAAUGUCCAUACAUGAUGCCUUCAUACCUGCUCACUGAACCCAGCAGGUAAGCAGACUCAGCUUCUCACAAAGACAGUCGACAAGGACAAAAGACAAAAUGGUCCCCAACUCACCCUGGGAUUAACAGAAAAUUUAUAGACUUCUACAUAGAAAAGACUUUGGAGAUUACUUAGUGGGGUCAAUCCAUAAUUUGAUAUACGGAAACCUGAGAACCAGAAGGUCGCUGAGCUGCAAGCAUUUUAUUUAUGUAUUAACUGAUUUAUUUAUAUCCUCCCUACUUCCAAAAAGGUUUUGAGGCAAUUCGCCAAGCAUUGUGGUUAAUCACUGUGUUAUUAUUAGAAAUGAGGCUUUUCUUAAAAAAAUUUUUGAGUGUUUCUAAAACUCUAAGGAUUUAGAUCAUGUUAGGUAUAUAAUUCAGGUUAUUGUGUAUAGACUAGCUCUAUAAUAAGCUGAAUCCUCCUUGUACUUUAAAGGAUUCCUGGCUGGGUGCAGUGUUUCACGCCUGUAAUCCCAGCAGUUUGGGAAGCUGAGGUGGGAGGAUCACUUGAGUCCAGGAGUUCGAGACCAACCUGGGCAACAUAGUGAGACCUCAUCUCUCUUUUUAAUAUAAAAAAAGUAAAUAAACAAACAAACAAACCCCAAAACCAAAAUGGAUUCCUAAGAGAAGCUCCAUGGUUUUCUAUCAGGCAAGUGGCAUGAACUAUACUAUAGUGAAGUGUUACCCAUGUUUACAUGUUUAUUUGUGGUAAUCCAUCAGAGUAAACUUGGUGUGAAUAAAAUCAAUUAUUUGGGGACAUUUGCUGUGUCUUUCAUAAUGUAUGGAUUGGUGUUUGCAAACAGAACCAUGGUUGUUUAAUCAGAUAUGGCCCUUUUCUUCACAUAAAUAUGGAGCUCUCUGGUUGCAGUAGGUUAGGCAUACAUGUAGGCUUGGAUUUGGAGUGAGCUCCUUGAGUGCACAUUUAAAAUCAUGAAAGAGCGAUGUAGGGGCUGGAUAGAAGCAGGAGUCCCAAGAUAUCACGACCAGUGAGCAGCUACCCCCAUCAGACCUAAUUCAUAUAUUGGAGGAUCUGAUGGAUAUCUUCCCACGGGCUACUCCUUGAUGCUUUAAAUUUUGUGGGGCACUUUGUCACUGCUUGCCGCUAGAACUCAAGAGAAGGAAUCUUUAUCUGUUUCUCCUUUCCCAAGGGCAAUGCCAUUAUUUCUGUCUCUCAUACAGACUGGCUGUGAGAGCUGCAUAAAGGGCCAUGUGUUGCUGGAGGGAAGAAAGAAAUGCAAAAGAGACUUCUUAGUUGUUGUGGUCCAGCAUGAAUAGCGCAUGGAAUCAUGGGCAUGAAGUGGGAAGAUAGCUGGAAGGUGGAUGGUACAACUGAUGGGGUAAAAAGUAGUCAAGAGAUCAAAUGCAUUUCACCGGACUUCUUAGGCUAUGAGGGACCAAGAAGUCAUUCAGAAGGUGUGGUGCCCUCCGCACAGGAAGCAGACACUCGGCCACCUUCUCCCUGACCCACUGCGAUGGCUAAUUUCAUUAACCAAUGUCAACUUGCCAGGAUUAAGGGAUUCCCAGAUAGCUGGUAAAGCAUUAUUUUGGGUGUGUCUAUGAGGAUGUUUCCAGAAGAGACUGGCAUUAGAAUCACUUUAAGGUCCUGGAUAGAAUAAAAAGGCAGAGGAAAGGUGAAUUUGCCCUCUCCUUCCCAUUCUCCUGGAGCUAGGGUACCCUUCUUCUCUUGCUCUUGGACAUCAGAACUCCAGGCUCUCUGGCUUUUGGACUCUGAGACUUGCACCAGUGGCACCCCAGGUUCUUAGGACUUUGGCCUUGGACUGAAAGUUACACCUUCAGGUUCCCUGGUUCUGAGGCUUCCAGAGUUGAACUGAGCCACACUGCCAGCUUCCCCCAUUCUAUAGCUUGCAGAUGGCCUGCAUGCGACUCAGCCUCCAUAAGCGUAUGAGACAACUCCUCUGAUAAAUCCCCUCUUAUAUAUCUGUAUCUGUCUAUAUCUACCUUCUAUUGGUUCUGUUCCUCUGGAGAACCCUGACUUGUACACCUCCUGCUUGAGGACCUCCUCUGAGUCUGGCCACACCUGCUUCCUCUGCUCUUAGAGAAGAGAGCCGCAUAAAUGGAUUCACAGUAAUUCAGGUUUCCACUGUGUGACAGGAGGUAUUUAGGGUUUGGGUGUUUCUCCAGCAACCGACAUGUUUCCUUGUCAGGCCUGAGUUGAUAAGGCAGAUGCUAAGUACCAGGAGGCUUCACUUUGGUCAUCUGAUGGCCUGAAUGUUCUUUGUGUUGAACUAGGUUCACAUUGAUGGUUGUCUUGUCCAAUUAAUAUUUCUUUAAUAAACCAAUCAAUUUAGAAAAGUAAUUGCUCAAGCUCACUGUUGGGCAAGAGAAGUCUUCCCCAAAGCCCAUGGGGACACCUCUUUCCAGCCUUUGUUAUUUCACCUAGGAGGUCACAGGUCUAGCCUAUGACAGUACCAGUUUCAUGAUGGGUCCAAUAUGCUCCUGCCUACACAGAAUAAAUAUUGAGUCUCACAACCAAAGAGUUCCAGUGACGAUCUUGAUCCACCAUAGCCAAGUUAAAGAGACUGGGUUUGCUCCUUCCCUGUGGAUCUGAGCUUUCCAUUUGAGCUGUUCUUGAGCAGAAUUAGUCUCUAUCCAA
rnacentral:lncRNA from 1 species